ACUGUCAAUAGAGGAGCGAGCACGAUGGGUUCUGGGUUAGCCGGCAGGCAGUGACCCCAGAAGGAGGCGAGGUUCGCCGAACUUGGCAAUCAGGCGUGGUUGUCAGGUGGGCUUGUAUGAAAUACAUGCAAGACUGUCCGAGAUUUCGGGGGUGCUACUUUGACG
rnacentral:ncRNA from 2 species